CUAAGGUGCCCUAGCCAAUGGUAGAGGCUUUGCAGAUCAGAAAGAAAACUGGAUAAAUUGCAAGAAAGAUUUUAAGUAUUUCCCCUUGGAAAGUUAAAGUUAAUUUGCAGCCGAGUGUACUUAAGUGGUAUUUAAUUUAUCUUGUGGUUUAAUUAAUUCACAGAUAGAUUAAAGUUAAGUACAAAGGUUCAACGACUAACGGGUGAAUGAUCACAAAUAAUAAUCCCGACACGAACAUCCAGCACCGGUAAUUUACCGGUGAUGACAUAGUCUGAACAGUAACGUAAGUUACUG
rfam:Rhizoctonia solani AG-1 IA unplaced genomic scaffold scaffold47, whole genome shotgun sequence.